UUUUUCUCGCGACCCGUUUUCAACUUUUCCGGAAAUUUUAAUUAUUUGCUUUGUGAUAUCUUGGUUUAUGGGACGUGUUUUUCUUUUAUGAUACUAUGCUUGUUUGAUGCGGGUGUAUGAAUAAAAACAAGAAAUUACUAUGAAGGGUUAAUAAUUGGCGGCCAGUGAUGUGAGAAUUAAUAUUUGCUACUCUUGAUAGGGUGCUACUCCAUUUGAUGAUUCUUAUCCACCAAGAUCUCUGAGGCCGCUUGAUGGUUUGAAGAUUUAUUUUAUUUUACUCUUUUUCUGAAUUAGGGAUAAGAUUUAUAUAGAUUAGGUCAAAAUUUUCGUGUAUGUUAUAUUAGGGAUAGAAUAAUAACUUAAAUUGAAUCAAUUUGGACUUGAUUUAUUCUUUUGUUUGAAUAACAAAACAAAUUAAGUUCACUGUCUAAAGUGUGCUGAUAUGCUGAAAUUCCGCAUUCAUAUCUUGUUGUGGAGGGAUAAAUUUUUUGCAGAAAGACACGGGGGAAGGAAGCUGGUCACAAGUUGAAGACCCACGGUAGGAACCAAAGGUGGGCUGAUAAGGCAUAUAAAAAGUCCAACCUUGGCAAUGAAUGGAAGUAGCCAUUUGCUGGCUCCUCUUACGCAAAAGGCAUUGUUCUUGAGAAAAUUGGUAUCGAGGCAAAGCAGCCCAAUUCUGCUAUUAGAAAAUGUGUUCGAGUCUGGCUGAUUAAGAGUGUAAAGAAGAUUCCAGCUUUUGUGCCAAAUGAUGGUUGUAUGAACUACAUUGAAGAAAUAACGAAGUACUAAUCGCUGGAUUUGGUUGUAAGGGGCAUGCUGUCGGAGAUAUUCAUGGGGUUAGAUUUAAGGUUGUAGAGGUUUCAGGUGUGUCUCUUCUAGCCUUCUUCAAGGAGAAACCAAGGUCAUGAACACUUGCCCCAAAUGCUUCCUUGUCUUUUUGGAGCUUUUAAUUUCCCCAAAUCCCCUUACACUUCUCCAUUUAUCUUUCCUAUGUAUUGCUGUUAAGUAAAUAUUUACUCAGUUGAAAGUAUUUGGAAUUUAUUCUUUUCUUUUAAAUUAUUAGGUUUUGUGAAAGUUGAAUUCUGCUAUUAGAAAAUUGCGUAAUGGGUAUUCUUCUGUUUGA